AAUGCGCGUCUUACCAUGCAAGCCAAGGGGAACGGGGUAGCAAUAUCCCGGGAUACUGGCGAACGGGUGAGUAACACGUAGGUAACCUACCUCCUGGAGAGGGAUAACCUGCCGAAAGGUGGGCUAAUACCAAAUGAUGCAGCGGCACCGCAUGGUGAUGUUGUUAAAGGUGGCGUGAACAGCGCCAUGCCAGGAGAUGGGCCUGCGGCCUAUCAGGUAGUUGGUGAGGUAACGGCUCACCAAGCCGACGACGGGUAGCUGGUCUGAGAGGACGGCCAGCCACACUGGAACUGAGACACGGUCCAGACUCCUACGGGAGGCAGCAGUGAGGAAUAUUGGGCAAUGGGUGAAAGCCUGACCCAGCAACGCCGCGUGGAGGAUGAAGGCCCUAUGGGUUGUAAACUCCUGUGAGAGGGGAAGAAUGUGGCGCCUCAGGCGCCAUUGACGGUACCCUCAGAGGAAGGUCCGGCCAACUACGUGCCAGCAGCCGCGGUAAUACGUAGGGACCGAGCGUUGUCCGGAAUCAUUGGGUGUAAAGGGCCCGCAGGCGGAUGUGUAAGUCGGAGGUGAAAUCUCACGGCUCAACCGUGAAACUGCUUUCGAUACCGCACGUCUUGAGUACGGGAGAGGGUGGUGGAAUUCCUGGUGUAGCGGUGAAAUGCGUAGAUAUCA
rnacentral:rRNA from 1 species